AUGGUGAAGGAGAAGACGGCGGCCUUGGAGCGAGCGAAGAAGGCUACGGCGACAGCGAAAGCAAAGGGGAGAGCGACCAGUCGGGGUGGAUCUUCAUCGCGGUCCCGCCUGCCGCAAGGUUGGGUCCAAGGAGAUUGGAUCCGCUCGACCAUCACCCAGAAGGAUCUCGACGAUCUGUCUAAUGAGGGACUGAUCCCCCAUGGGUCAGCAAGACUUCCGGGGACCGAGUGGCAACCGCAACCGCUGGAGGGUGAGUGUGUUCUCUUAGCCACUCAUGUAGAUCGCGGAUUCUCUCUGCCACCGAAUCUUUUCUUCCAAGGGUUUCUGAACUUCUUUGGGGCACAACUCCACCAUUUCACUCCCAAUUCCAUUGCCUACCCCGCCGCUUUCGUGUCUCUGUGCGAAAACUUCCUGGGUUGUCGGCCGCACUGGGGUCUCUUUAAGCACAUAUUCACUUGUCGCUCUCAGACGGUGAAAAAGGCGAGUCCGGAUGAUGAGAGGACCAAGGUUAUCCAUAUGUGUGGGGGGCUUGGGAUCCAAAUGAGGAGUAAGAGUGCUUUUCCAGCCAUGACCCUUCCCGAG
rnacentral:rRNA from 1 species